rnacentral:lncRNA from 1 species
AAACAGGAGAGGAUCUACGAAGAGUAAUGAAGUUUUCUAAAGUCCAACUGAAAUGAUUUCAGGAUUCGCUUCAACGAUGCAAAAAUAUAUUUGACAUCUCAAAUCUGAUGAAAUUCAUUUUCUUUACCGUUAUCUUGGACGUAUCACAUGUCAAAAUGCAUUAAUUACCGAUGCUAGCACUUGAAAUAAUAAAAAAAAAAAUCAAAUGAUAACCAAGUUAAAGAAGCAAAGUACUUUUAUAUUACAUACUUGAUUGUACCCCAAACCCAAUUUGUAAGACAUGAAGAAGAAAUCUCUUUGACAGAGUUAUUUCCAAAAUGGCAGAAUCUACCAUCUUGAACCAAAGUAUAUCAUUAGAACAAGAAGGAGAAUUAAGGACAUUCUAUUUCGAGAGCUACCUGAUAGGGUACUUCAUUCUUGACAGAGUACUGGCCUUCGUUGUCAUAUUGCCACCGAAUCUGAACUUCUUUGAGGAAAUGAAUGCUUUGGUGGAAGAAGACCUUGAGCAAGAAAGAGACCAACAUGAAAGAGAGAUGAAGAAAAUCUCUAAUUAUGCAGAUAUGGUCUGAUUGGCUUGUGAGAUAACUAACCAAACUAAUCACUACUUUCAAUCUCAAUUAAAUUCCAACAAACAAUCUAUUUUCUAUACGGACUUGUGUGGUGAUAAGCUAAAUAAAGCUGCCUGAAAACUACUCAGACGAAACUCUGGGGAUAUAGUACAUUGUUUGUUGAUAUAUAAUGGAUAAACAGAAUAAUAAAAGCCCCUGCUGAAAAUUGACGGAGAUUGAAAGUAGUGAUUAAUUUGGUUAGUUAAAACUUACAAGCCCACAAGACCAAUUUGAUUAGUUAGAGAUCUUCUUCCACCAAGCAUCCACUUCCCCACAGGAUUUCAUGGCAGCCAAUUGUAUGCGGAUCGAUCUUCAAUUUGCCGUCUCAGAGUAUGAAACAUGAUCCAACAUCAUCACAGCCUAGCAAUAUCUAAGUAGGUUUCUCUUUUAACCUUGCAUGUUAUAAAGAUUGAGUAUAUAUAAAUAAAAUUGUACUCCGAAAAUUG